GAACCUCGGUAGGAUUCGAACCUACGCCUCCGGCAGAAUAGUUAGCGUACUACACGCUAUACCACGAGGUU